GACGAACGCUGGCGGCGUGCUUAACACAUGCAAGUCGAACGCUGAAGCUCAGCUUUUGUUGGGUGGAUGAGUGGCGAACGGGUGAGUAACACGUGAGUAACCUGCCCCCUUCUUUGGGAUAACGCCCGGAAACGGGUGCUAAUACUGGAUAUUCACUGGUCUUCGCAUGGGGGUUGGUGGAAAGGGUUUUUCUGGUGGGGGAUGGGCUCGCGGCCUAUCAGCUUGUUGGUGGGGUGAUGGCCUACCAAGGCUUUGACGGGUAGCCGGCCUGAGAGGGUGACCGGUCACAUUGGGACUGAGAUACGGCCCAGACUCCUACGGGGGGCAGCAGUGGGGAAUAUUGCACAAUGGGCGCAAGCCUGAUGCAGCGACGCCGCGUGAGGGAUGGAGGCCUUCGGGUUGUGAACCUCUUUCGCUCAUGGUCAAGCCGCAACAAUGGUUGUGGUGAGGGUAGUGGGUAAAGAAGCGCCGGCUAACUACGUG
rnacentral:rRNA from 1 species